UACGAAGGGGGCUAGCGUUGCUCGGAAUGACUGGGCGUAAAGGGCGCGUAGGCGGUUUGGACAGUCAGAUGUGAAAUUCCUGGGCUCAACCUGGGGGCUGCAUUUGAUACGUUCGGACUAGAGUGGGGAAGAGGGUCGUGGAAUUCCCAGUGUAGAGGUGAAAUUCGUAGAUAUUAGGAAGAACACCAGUGGCGAAGGCGGCUCACUGGUCCGGUACUGACGCUGAGGUGCGAAAGCGUGGGGAGCAAACGGG
rnacentral:rRNA from 1 species